GUCUGCUACUCAGCAGCCCUGGCAGGCGCCGUCAUGGUGGGGUCCAUCCUCCCACCCACCUGGACUGCAGAGCUCCCCGUGAAGGACCUGGAAGUCCGGAGUGCCGUGCCCUGCUGUGCUUUGCGGAGCCCUCAGACGAGAAGCACGCAGCCAGCCAGACUGACAGCAGCCCGGAGCAGUGACAGUGAUGGUCGGCAGCUGGAUGGAGCGGCCGGGCCCCUGCAGGACCCCAGAGGCUGAAAUUUACUGACAUCGGAGAAGGGAUUGAUCAAUGAUUUCAUUGAAUAGCAAGACUGGAGGCAUUGUAUGAGUUGGAAAUUGUGCCCCUAGGGCCACUAAUUUAUUUAAUGUGAUUGGGGUCGCACAGCUGUUCCUCACCAUGGCCUGAGGGCAAGUAGAUUCCGGCUGUCCCCGGC
rnacentral:lncRNA from 1 species